UGUGCUCAGACCGAAUUCAGCGAGCACUCAGAACAGGAAGAGAAGAUUGUAGUGUGGAACGUAUCGACGCUAACACGACAUUUCAGACGACUACCUUUUUUACUCUACACGUAUUUCAUAAAUAGGCGUUUAUUUUCCAGUGAAACAAGAUUCAGAUUGUCAGCGCGAUCAAAUCGGGAAGGCCUGACUUGUUUUAAAAAGAUUUCACCAAGGCUAGUUUCGAUAGUGUCGUUUGGUCGAACUAGCCAGUCUCAUAUAUUAAGCUAACAGCCAGGAACUUUUAGCUUGGCUUUUUUUCUUGAUAAGUUAUACUUAACUGUUCAUCUGAGGCCUGUUUUUGAGACUCAAACAUGAAGACUGAGGACAGGGCCAACCAGGCUCAGCACGCACGUCUGAGUGAGGGUAUGAGACUUAUCUUUGACCAGAAGGCCCCAUCCAGCCGGGGCUCCUCCCGUUCUCGCUCCAGCAGCAGCAGCAGUGACAGCUCAUACUCCAGCCGUGGUAGCUACUCCUCCAGAUCCUCCCGGAGGUCUUCCAGGCACCGUCGCCACCGCAGGUCCCCCUCGUCAUCUGACUACUCCUCGUCCAGCAGCCGCUCUCGUUCACGCUCCCGCUCUUACCCACGCUGCCACCGCACCUCUGACUACUCUCGGUGCCGCCAUCGCCACUCUCCGCCUCGGCGUUACAGAGCACGAUCUCGCUCUUACAGCCCUUCUCCAGACUACCGCAGGUACCGUCGAUCUCCUCCCCGCCGCUACCGGGCACACUCCCGCUCCUACAGUCCCUCGCCUUCUCCGGACCGGUACUACAGGCGCUCACGCAGGUCCCGAUCCAGGUCGAGGUCCCUGAGCCGCCGACGGGUGAGUGGGUUUGUGGGAAGGUACAGGUGCCGCUUUUCCCCAUCGCCCAGGAGGAGCCCGAGGAGCUACAGGAGCAGGUCCAGGUCUCCAGAGCGUUCCACAAUCCAUCUAAGCCGUGAAGAAAAGAGGGAGCUUCUGAAGAUUGCUAAAGAAAAUGCCACGAAAAUUUUGGGAGUACAGAACCUCGAGCUCCCUGCCAGUCUGAAGGGUGUUGAGCUGGAGGAGGGGAAGCCAUCAGCUGUAAGCGCAGAAAGGGUGAGGCCUGAAGCAGAACCACAAAAGAACCAAGCACAGGUGAGUGUUACAGACCGGUCAACUGGUUGUUGGUGUGGUCAGUUGAAUGGGAGAUACCUCUGUCUGUCUGGGCCUAUCUGGUUAAAGGCAACCAAGUGGUUUGAGUAGCUCAAAAGAAAUCAGUCUCAUUUUUUGUGUAAAUCCAGGGGUAGUAUUGUCAGAGGCUCCUGUCAUUAAUGAUAAAUAGUCCUACUGUUAAUGUAGUCCCUUUGGGAUUUUCUUGGAAUAUGUUUAUUUUGUGGAGAAAAGGUUUCGUCGUUGUUUAAUCUGCACAGCAUUAGACUGUGGAUCCUUUCCCCCCAAAUUUAGAUUUCCUUGUAAUCUAUUUCCUCAGACAUGCAAAUAUGUUUGACCAGUGGACUAUGUUAUUGGAUCAGGAUGAUGGCAAAAAAAAUUCCAACAUCGUCCUCAUUUGUCCAGGUUUGGAUUGGAAAAUGAUCACAUGACAGUGGUCUGCACUCCUCCACCCUUUGGAUUAUGAAAAUGAGGGGGCAGACAUGUGACUUGAGUGACACCAUUGGGGUUUCACAAAGGUUUAAGUAAUAAAUGUGCCUCAAGGUCAAGUACAAGGUUACGUUCCAAGUUACGUUCUGAAUUUAAUGGGUUGCAGUCUUAACACGCACAUUUUAAUACAAAGUUGCACAUUGACACUAAGUUUCUACCACACAUACAUGACUGACAGCUGCUUUCAUGACACGUAAUGUCGUAAUGUUACUGCAGUACGCGCAUUUUGCACACUUUAAAGAGAGGAUCUGCAAGAUAUGUGUAAUUAUGUGUUUGCUCUUGGUUGAAAUGGGUGCGUUGUUAUUUACCAGAGUCAUCCUCCGUCUGUCUGAAGAAGCUCAGGCGUACGGACUGCCUUUUAGUGACAAGAACCCUCUCUCUCCUCGUAUGCCAAAGAUAAGUUGCGCACGGGUCGUGCGCCGAAUGGGGGUUUGGAAAUAACCUGCAUCUUCAUGACUUUAUUGAAACAGAGAAGGAUCUUGUAUUUAUGCUCUGGUUUCUUUUAUGAAAUUUGCCUUGUAAAAAUCUGGCAUAGGCAUAGGACUACCCCCACUUGUUCUUUUUCUUCUUUGUUUUUUUUUCUUUUUCGACAGCAGCACAGCCAGAAUGAAUGAACACCAGCUGCGGCUGUGUAGAUAUCAAGCAGGCUUAAAGUCAGUAGAUUUACAGGCUGUGCUAUUACAAGGCCUGUAUCCUUUCUGAAUUCUCAUGCAUGUGUAAUGAGCUCAGGAAGAAAGUAUUCUCUAUGUUCAGUGUACCUGGAAUGUAUUGUAGUUUAUGGGUCAUACAUUGCUUAGUGUUAAAUGGGUUUGUCCUGCUUUUCUUUCUGUAGGACCAAGCUGCUGUGGCCAACGAUGACGAGGACAGUUCUAAGACGUCCCCCAAGAGGAAACCCAUUACCUUCAGUAUUAAUAAUGCUGUUGCCAAGCCAUCAUCCAGCCCCAACUUUCAUGUCACUGAGGCUAAAGU